rnacentral:rRNA from 1 species
AUCACUUGGCUCCGUAUCCGAGGAAGGCCGGAAUAGUUUCCGAGAACUAAGGCCGAACGGCAUUUGUAAAUGCCUGACUACCCCCUGGACUUAAGCAUAUUAUUAAGGGGAGGAACAAAAACUAACUAGGAUUUCUGUAGUAGCGGCGAGCGAACAAGAAAUAGCCCCGAAUGUAAGCCUCCGGGCAUUGUUAAGAUCGUCGUAACGAAUUACCGGGACAGGUAAGCCAUAGAGGGUGAUAGCCCCGUAGUGACGAGUAAUGGGCAGAGUAGGGUUGCUUGGUAAUGCAGCCUGAAGAGGUGGUGGGUUCCAUCUAAGGCUAAAUAUGAGCGGAGACCGAUAGCGUAAUAGUACAGCGAUGGAAAGGUGAAAAGCUAAAAAGUGCAAAGACGUGAAAUUGUAUUGAGUAUCCUGAUAACAGGACCCGUCUGAAACACGGACCA